GGACCAUUAGCUCAGUCGGUUAGAGCCAACCGCUCAUAACAGUUAGGUCACAGGUUCGAGUCCCGUAUGGUCCA
rnacentral:tRNA from 1 species